rnacentral:rRNA from 1 species
UAAGAGCAAACCCGGGGAACUGAAACAUCUAAGUACCCGGAGGAAAGGAAAUCAAUUGAUACUCCCCUAGUAGCGGCGAGCGAACGGGGACCAGCCGAGCCAUGAUUGUGGUUAGAAUGCGUUGGAAUGCGCAACCAGAGUGGGUGAUAGUCCCGUAUAAGAAGCAUGAUUGGACGUAUUAAGUAGGGCGGAACACGUGAAAUUCUGUCUGAAGAUCGGAGGACCACCUUCGAAGGCUAAGUACUCCUUACUGACCGAUAGUGAACCAGUACCGUGAGGGAAAGGUGAAAAGCACCCCGACGAGGGGAGUGAAACAGUACCUGAAACCGAACGCCUACAAUCAGUCGGAGCUUG